AUUGAACGCUGGCGGCAGGCCUAACACAUGCAAGUCGAGCGGAUGAAGGUAGCUUGCUCCUGGAUUCAGCGGCGGACGGGUGAGUAAUGCCUAGGAAUCUGCCUGGUAGUGGGGGAUAACGUCCGGAAACGGGCGCUAAUACCGCAUACGUCCUGAGGGAGAAAGUGGGUGAUCUUCGGACCUCACGCUAUCAGAUGAGCCUAGGUCGGAUUAGCUAGUUGGUGGGGUAAAGGCCUACCAAGGCGACGAUCCGUAACUGGUCUGAGAGGAUGAUCAGUCACACUGGAACUGAGACACGGUCCAGACUACUACGGGAGGCAGCAGUGGGGAAUAUUGGACAAUGGGCGAAAGCCUGAUCCAGCCAUGCCGCGUGUGUGAAGAAGGUCUUCGGAUUGUAAAGCACUUUAAGUUGGGAGGAAGGGCAGUAAGUUAAUACCUUGCUGUUUUGACGUUACCAACAGAAUAAGCACCGGCUAACUUCGUG
rnacentral:rRNA from 1 species